AUUACAUCUGUCUCACAAGAAGCCACUAUGAAUUAGUGAAGGAAAAGAAUAACCGAAGACGGUUGAAAAUAGACAGGGCCACACUGAUUUGCUGAGAUCCUUCUGCCUCAACCACCUGAGUCACUGGGAUUACAGGUGUUUUGCAUUUGGAACCAUGGGACAAAAUAGCAGAGCCUAAUACUACAUUGACUUGGAUGCGACGGUCACCAUCCCUUCUGCCCUGUAUGUGGCUCAACUUUAUCACCGAAUUAGUAAAAUAAGUGGGAUUACGAGAGCAAGCCAGGAAUGAUCAAAGGCAUCCAUCACGGCCCCAGUGUGGCCCAGCCCGUCCAACUGGACAGAACCCAGCUCUCCAAGAAAUUCAUCAGUGACUACCUCUGGAGGGUGGUAGACACCGAGUGGCAACCAGGAGCCUUGUGACCUGCAGAAUCGGCCUUGGCGGGUGGUGGGUAGCUCCGUGAUGAUCAGUUUAAAAAUAAAUGUCUGUAUAUAUUCUGCUGUCGUGUACA